rnacentral:lncRNA from 1 species
CAAAAGGAAAAAAACAUAUACCCAUGUCGAUAAUAAACAUCCAACAAAUACGUGCGUGCAAUUAUUUCGCCUGGGUUGAUUAUAAUGAACCCAUCAACUUCCUUUUGCAGUUCUAUCAUUAUCCAAACAGUCUAUGAGCUUUUUCGCGGUAAAAACUUUGAGUCAUUUCCAAUUUCAUGGGAAUGGUUAAUUCAAUUGGUGCAUAUCUAUUCUUAGGUAUACCUGCUAGAUAUCUAUAUGAUAAAGAAGUGGAUAUAACCUGUUUAUCAAAUGCUGUAUGCUGGAAGAUACUCAAGCUGAAUUCCACGUAUGAUAUUUUGAGCCAUCCUUGUCUUUCUUUUUUGACAAACUGUGUGGAAAUGCCCCUAGUUCCAUGUAGUAAGGAGCACUUUGUCGUGGUGAAAUUUUAAUUUAUUUGAGCUUAAUGUGUUUGUGAAAAUGCUCCAUAGAGCAAACUAGGCAAAUAAAUUUGAAUGAGGUGAACUUAUGGUGCAUUUUUGUAUAGAUUUUCUACUUUCUGUUGAUAUCAUGGUAUAAUAUUACAUGUAUAAUGUUACUUGUUUGGUGUAAUCUUCAUUCAAAAUUGGGUAUGGUUUAUGAACUUUUUCUCUUUUUCUUGUCCUUGUCAUACUGAUAUGAAAUUUGCCUUCUUAAUAUCACAAGUACUGAAUUGCCAUUCUUAAUAGAUCUAUUCACAAGCAAUAUGGAAGUAUCUCCAAAACAAAUUCAACACCUCAAUUCCAACAUGAAACUUCGGCUAACAUUGACGAAUAAGUUCAAUUUUCAUCUUUUUCCUCCUAAAUUCAUCAUCAAGAUAAAGAUCUACAAUCCCAUACCAUCCAAUAUUGAGUUUACACAUCAAAAACUCAACAAAUCAAUCCAUAUUUCCUCAAGGAAGACUACAUAUCGAAUGAAAUAACCUCAUAUGCAACAAUUAAUCCAAAGCAUAAAUGAGUUCCAAAUGCUACAAAGGUAUAACUUAGUAUAAAUGAAAGUGCACAUGAGCAAAAUUUGAUAUGUGAAUACAACCAGAAAAUACAUAUGGAAAUAUUAAAUGAAACGAAAAACAAGAAACUGGGAUCCCAAGAAGAAGAUAAUGAAAAGGGUAACCCAAAGAAUAUAUUAAAGAUUUUGAGCUGGUGAAAAUGAAUGUGCCCUGAAAAUUUUAAUCAUUGAAAUACAAUUGAGGCCAGAUGGGUGGUGUUAAUAACAAGUAAAAAUGGACAAAAUUACCUUUCAGUAAGUUGAUUUAUGCGGUUUUUGCAGAGGGAUGCAGAGAUGGAGAGACGGCACAAACAUGUAUAAAAUAGCUUUUAAUAGCUUCAUCAUGAUAUAGAUGUAGAAGAGAGUUCAUAACAAAGUUCAUUGGAUCCCAAGAUUACAAAAAGCUCAUUACACCAUCUGAAGGAUCGAUACAUUUAAGAAUCACUAAGACAAAAUGAGACCUAAGAACUGCAAACAUAGAAGACAUCCCUAUAUUGACAACAUUCCAACAGUUCAUUAAAUGCACAAGCCUAAAAAAAAAGGGACUUAGCACUGAUGUUCAAAAUCAGACAAAAAAACCUACAAUUGAAAAAAAAAAAUAUUCAAGACAUGUUGGUGAUAAUCCAACAAAUAAAACUUGUGAUGCAAGUUUAAUCCUUCCAAAAAGUAAAUCAUCAACCCCAAAUCUAAAUUAGGGUGCUUUUUUCUUAAAGAUACUGGCACUUGUUCCCUUCCUCGGUGCAGUGAAAGUAAAUGAGAAACUAACCAUCCUACUAUUCUUUGCCCUCGCUGCCCUUGACUGUGUCUGCUCAUCAAAAUUAAUAUGUUCAAAUCUUCUACCAUUUCUGACACAUUAUUGGUUUGAGAGGGCCCUCUAAAAUCUUCAAAUGAUUGCACUUGAUUCUGUUUUUCUUUUGCUGAACUAUGAGGUGUAAUGGGUUGAGGUUUAGCAUUUGUGAUACAUGGAUUCCAUGUUAAUCCAAUCCCCGGUGUAGGCA